GGAACGGUGGUGGUCACUCCACAUAGGGUUGUCAGGGGAUCCAACACAACGGAGCGCCAAACCCGGAUGCCCAGAAUGUGGGGUGUGACCCCAGGAGGAAGAGCCCCUCUGACUGUGGGACGUGCCCUGGGCACGUCCUGCGCGAGAGCCCAGCUCUCUCAGUGCCGCGCUGAACCCUCCCGUCUGAAGGAGUGUCACAUAUUUGCAGGGGCUGCAAUGUGGAGAUGCAUCGGUGGAAAAAAUACAGGAGUUUUUCAGGUUUCUGUGGGUGAGCAGUUUCACGGGGCACUGUGGGGACAGCUCGUCUCCCUCCACGACGCCUGGUGCUUCAGCUGGAAGACUAGAGGCGGAGGCUGGAAUCAUCUGGAGGUGCCUCCACCACGAGUCCAGUGGUUGGUGACGGCUGCCGGCCGAGGACUGCACUGAGCUGUUGGGGGGACACCCCCAUGUGGGCUCCCUGUGGCCAGACCCCCUCACACGUGGGGGCUGGGUUUGGAGGGCUAGCACGUGAGAGAGGGGCAGGCAGGAGUCCUCUGGCGUGUUGUGACCUACCCUCAGCAGUUAUCCAGGGUCACUCUGCUGCUUUCCUUUGGUCAAGAAAGUUGCAGAGGUCUGCCCAGCCGCUGCCCAGCUGGAGAUCUGCAUGGUGUUAGAUUCCUGUUGGUUCGUCUCAGCAGGCGUUAACCUGGUUGAUCUCAAACUGCGAACUCCAUCUCUGAGUGGGCAGCUCGGCUCUGGUUGGCAGAGGUCGGGGCAGAGUUCACAGGCGCCCCUUCUGUCUCUCUCUUUUUUGGAUUCUUCCCUCAUUUUUCAGAGGCUGUGUUUGCCCUCAGCUCUGGAGUCCGGCUCUUCUGUCCAGAGCAACUUCUAUUGCAGCUUUAUUUGCCUUGUGGCACCAGCGACAAGCUGCCCUUAGGAGGCAGGCCGUCCAUCUGUGCCGUUCUCUUGUUCCGGUGCCCACUCCCCUCCAGACCUGCCUGCCGUGUUGCACUGUCGACUGCCUCCAGCAGGGUUGCUUUCCCCUAGGGCUUGUAGUUAGGAUCUACAAGACAGGCCAUGUGGUAGGAACGUAAGUGGCCCCAAGGGAAGCAGCACUCAAUGACCUCACCUUAAAGGUGAGGCACCUGCAGCCCUUGCUCCAGCUCCUCUCUUCCCUGCUUGUCGCCUUCUCCCCCUCCCCCCCCAACUGCAGGGACCUCUUUCAGACUGUCAUGGGUGCCAUGCUCUCCGCUCUCCUAAGGCCUGGUCCAUGCAGCGCUGCCAGUUGCCCAGUUUCAGGGGCACAUGUAUAUUUCUGUGAUCGGAACUGUGCAGUGCACGUCCUGCACUACUGUCUGCAGUGGCCCCACUCACACGCUGUUCCGACUUCCUAAAGUUCCCUCCUCCAUGCUUUCUCCUUCUGGCUGAUACCCGAUUUCAGCUAACGGCCGUGUCUUCUGUGAAGUCCCAUCCAACCCUCACUUCCAGGUUAGGGCCCCUGUGUGCCAUUCUCACCUCUCUUGAAGGCCUUAUUAUUGUUGGACCAUUUGGGAGUAGGAUGAUGUAUCCAGCGCAGGUGGCCUGAACUCCUGUCCCCACCAACUGGUGCGUGACUUUGGGCAUGCUGUCUCUCUGUGCCUCAGUGUCCCCAUCCGUAAGUGUGGGUAGUAACUGCACCUGCUCUGUGGGACGGGGUGAGGGUGCAGCGAGUCAGCACGUGGAGAGCACUGACAACACUCGGCACGCUGGCGGCACCUGUAAGUGUUAGCGCCUGUCCUUGCUGUCCUUCCCCGAUCCCCUCGCCCGCGCACACCCCUCUCAGCAGGUGUGUCCAGAGGCUGGGUCGUCCUGGCACACUGAGAUGUGUGUUACAUGGGGGAUGUGAAUUGGGAGCCACUUUCCCAGGGUCCUGGCUGGGUUGAAAUGGAGCCUGGACCCUUCACUGUCCACUCCCUCCAGGCUCCUCCUGCAACCCGCCCUGGCCACAGCGGAGCCUGGUCGGCCGAGUAGAUGCACAAUUGGGCUGCGAGCGCAGAGGGAGGCCCCAUGCCUGCCCGUCCCAGGGGUCUCGGUGGCUGUGUCCGUCGGGGGGCCUGGCUCUGCUGCCCCCAGGAGAGCCGGUGACACACCAGAGGGAGGUUAAUUUAACACAUGCACAAAUAUGACAAGUACUUUUUUUUUUAACUAAUAAAGCAGAUUACUUAUCA